AUUUUAGUUCCUUUAACUCAUUUAUGUGAGUCAGGUCACCUACAUUUGGCCAAAAAGUUGAGACAACUAGAAACGUCAAGUUUGAAUCCAUUCAACUUGUCUGUGAAAUUAAAAUAGUACACUCAAUUCAGAAUGAUGAGUUUGCUCAGCUUUUGCACAUGCGCAGAACACUGCCCCUGCAAAAUUGUGUGUGUCAACCCGUGCAUCCAGCAUCCUCCCUCACCUCAUGGAACAAAUUGAAAACUAAGCCUGCGCGGUGCGGUUGAAAUUGUGAAGAAUUAGAAGAAGAAUUACAAAAGGAGGAGCUGCGGCGGUGAUCAUGUAGAGCUGCGUGUGGCGGAGGUUGAAAGCAGAUGGCCAGCAUUGUUUUCAGAAAGACAAAUUGCUGCUGAGUUCACGCGUCUUGUGGCUGCUGACCUCCCCAAGUCCUUUCUUUCUGGACUCGACCGGCAUUUGCCAAGACUGCUCGAGUUGUACAAAGCACGAGAGAGACGCGACACAAAGAUUCACCGUCUGCUGGAGUCUGAAAACUCCAACCAGAACAGAAGGUCUGCAGCACUUCUUGGACUGCCAUAUUUCAUGAAGGAUCCCUCCAACUUCAUCAAGUUCUGCGAGGUCACUGACUCAGAGGAGGCGGCAGCUGUAAACGGAGUGGAUGUUGGCGUACUGAUCGUCACAGAAGAACGGGAGCCGGCAGCCCUACCAAGGAAUAUUGCGGAUGUUGCUGUGAUCCUGGAGGGGCGCAUUGUUUUGCGCAAGCUGCGAGAUGUACCAACCGGCUUUGCUGUGCUGAUGGGCAUACUUUACAGCCUCAACAUUGAUUAUCCUAAGGGACUGAAAAAUACCUUUGAGGUCAUUCAGAAGGUAAUCAUGGACAUUGGGGGAGGCCCCUGCUCUGCUCGGGCUCAUGGACUGCGAAACAAAUUGCUUCAGGGCACAAUAUAGAGAUGUGGUUCCCUUCCCUGUCUGGGUUCCACCUUAAGGUUAUUUAAUGUGGUUAUUUGAUGUGCUGCACAACUCCAAGGCAGCCAGCAAGACUUGUUCUGUUCCAGCUAAACUGCAUUACAAAUGUUUAACAAUUUCCUUUUAAACAGGGUGCUGGAUUUUCCCUCUGUUGUUAAUUUUGGAAUUAUAUGUUAGCUUGUUAUUUUAUGAAAUGAUAAUAUAUCUGUCAAGUAUAGAGUGCCACAGUGAUGCAUCCUAAAACCCGGAAGUAAGCUGCACAUGGGUUCCUUCGACAAAAAGCAAUGCAAUUUCUCCAUAGGAUUUUGGAAAAUA